rnacentral:rRNA from 1 species
AGCGUAGUUCGGAAUUACUGGGCUUAAAGAGUUCGUAGGUGGUUAAAAAAGUUGGUGGUGAAAUCCCAGAGCUUAACUCUGGAACUGCCAUCAAAACUUUUUAGCUAGAGUAUGAUAGAGGAAAGCAGAAUUUCUAGUGUAGAGGUGAAAUUCGUAGAUAUUAGAAAGAAUACCAAUUGCGAAGGCAGCUUUCUGGAUCAUUACUGACACUGAGGAACGAAAGCAUGGGUAGCGAAGAGGAUUAGAUACCCUCGUAGUCCAUGCCGUAAACGAUGUGUGUUAGACGUUGGAAAUUUAUUUUCAGUGUCGCAGCGAAAGCGAUAAACACACCGCCUGGGGAGUACGACCGCAAGGUUAAAACUCAAAUGAAUUGACGGGGACCCGCACAAGUAGUGGAGCAUGUGGUUUAAUUCGAAGAUACGCGCAGAACCUUACCAACACUUGACAUGUUCGUCGCGACUUUAAGAGAUUAAAGUUUUCGGUUCGGCCGGACGAAACACAGGUGCUGCAUGGCUGUCGUCAGCUCGUGUCGUGAGAUGUUGGGUUAAGUCCCGCAACGAGCGCAACCCUCACUUUUAGUUGCCAUCAUUUAGUUGGGCACUCUGAAAGAACUGCCAGUGAUAAGCUGGAGGAAGGUGGGGAUGACGUCAAGUCCUCAUGGCCCUUACGUGUUGGGCUACACACGUGCUACAAUGGUAUCUACAACAGGAAGCAAGACUGCGAAGUUAAGCAAAUCCUUAAAAGAUACCUCAGUUCGGAUUGCACUCUGCAACUCGAGUGCAUGAAGCUGGAAUUACUAGUAAUCGUGGAUCAGCGUGCCACGGUGAAUGCGUUCCCGGGUCUUGUACACACCGCCCGUCACACCAUGGGAGUUGGUUCUACCUUAAUGCAAGGUUUAAAACCCUUGACCACGGUAUAGUCAGCGACUG